rnacentral:rRNA from 1 species
CAGCAGCCACGGUAAUACGGAGGGGGCUAGCGUUGUUUGGAAUUACUGGGCGUAAAGCGCACGUAGGCGGCUUGGUAAGUUAGAGGUGAAAGCCUGGAGCUCAACUCCAGAAUUGCCUUUAAGACUGCCGAGCUAGCAGGUGAGAGAGGUAAGUGGAAUUCCGAGUGUAGAGGUGAAAUUCGUAGAUAUUCGGAAGAACACCAGUGGCGAAGGCGGCUUACUGGCUCAUACUGGACGCUGAGGUGCGAAAGCGUGGGGAGCAAACAGGAUUAGAUACCCCGGUAGUCCCUGUCUCUUAUAA